GACGAACGCUGGCGGCGUGCUUAACACAUGCAAGUCGAGCGGUAAGGCCCUUUCGGGGGUACACGAGCGGCGAACGGGUGAGUAACACGUGGGUGACCUGCCUUUAGCUCUGGGAUAAGCCUGGGAAACUGGGUCUAAUACCGGAUACGACUCCGCGGUGCAUGCUGUGGGGUGGAAAGCCUUGUGCGGCUGGAGGUGGGCCCGCGGCCUAUCAGCUUGUUGGUGGGGUGAUGGCCUACCAAGGCGACGACGGGUAGCCGGCCUGAGAGGGCGACCGGCCACACUGGGACUGAGACACGGCCCAGACUCCUACGGGAGGCAGCAGUGGGGAAUCUUGCGCAAUGGGCGAAAGCCUGACGCAGCGACGCCGCGUGAGGGAUGACGGCCUCGGUU
rnacentral:rRNA from 1 species